rnacentral:rRNA from 1 species
AUUGAACGCUGGCGGCAGGCCUAACACAUGCAAGUCGAACGAGUGGCGGACGGGUGAGUAAUGUCUUGGAAACUGCCCGAUGGCGGGGGCUAACUGCUGUAAACGGUGGCUACACCCGCAUACCAUCGGAUGUGCCCUGAUGGCAUUAGCUAGUGGGUGUGGUAAAGGCUCACCUAGGCGACGAUCCCUAGCUGGUCUGCGAGGAUGACCGGCCACACUGGAACUGAGACACGGUCCAGACUCCUACGGGAGGCAGCAGUGGGGAAUAUUGGACAAUGGGCGCAAGCCUGAUGGAGCAAUGCCGCGUGUGUGAAGAAGGUUUUCGGGUUGUAAAGCUCUUUCGUCGGGGAGGCGUUACCCGACGAAGAAGCAACGGCUAACUACGUGCCAGCAGCCGCGGUAAUUC